rnacentral:lncRNA from 1 species
GGGCAUCCCGCGGUGCAAAAAAUUUCGACCAAGUCGCGAUUGCCGCUGGAUAUGAGGCAUGCCGCAAUGCGAGGGUAGCCCGUGCCUCGACUAAAGCAAAGACAUCGCCAUAACGUGCCUUUGGCCCGAUUACGUCGUGCUAACGGACCCGACGUGCACAGUUGUUGUAUCACCGGCCACCGCCCGCGAGCGAUGGCCGCCAGCAUCACGACAUCUACGGGGCGGGUAGCGACUGGCGGGCUUCGACUGCCGGUAAUGGUGGCACAAAAGUGCUCAGCAGCCCAGACAAGGACGUCGUCGCGGUCACCGCGCGCGGCGGCUGCUACAACAUCCGCCCAUGAGCGGCACGGCGGUGCCGACGCCAUCCAUCGGGCCAUGUCGCGUGCGCGCUCAUAGGAGCGGCCCGACAUCUGUUCCAUCCACUCGAUAACGUUUAUAUGGCCGCCGUGUACUGCCACCGAGAGCGUGUGUGUUCCGACAGUCGCGAUCGUAGAGGUUGGGAUCAAUAUCAUCGCGGCAGCAGCACGGGCGCACGCGCGCCACCAUCGACAAGUCUGUGCCGCCAGCGGCCACCAGCCAUGGUCGAGUUGGUGCAGCAUGGCACACAUCAACUCGGCAGGGAGAGUAUCCAUGUUGCGCACGUUGGGAUGUACUGCCGAUGAAAAAAGGGCACUUGAACAACAAAAGACGACAGACACAAAAGGGCGGGCCACCCGACGGGUUUGCUCGGAUCGGUCGUCGUUGCCUGAUGCUGUAACAUAGCGAUAAUUGGCUCAUUUUUUGGCGACCUAUAGUGUCUGCUAUAAAAAAAAGGAGGAGCGG